UCCCUGGUGGUCUAGUGGCCAAGGAUCCUGCGCUCUCACUGCUGCAGCCCGGGUACAAUUCCUUGGCAGGGAA